GGCGCGUUGGCGAAGUGGUGUACGCGCUCGCACGGUAUGCGAAAGAGCGGGGUUCGAUUCCCCGGCGCGCCA
rfam:Culex pipiens quinquefasciatus supercont3.183 genomic scaffold, whole genome shotgun sequence.